AUUGAACGCUGGCGGCAUGCUUUACACAUGCAAGUCGAACGGUAACAGGCCGCAAGGUGCUGACGAGUGGCGAACGGGUGAGUAAUGCAUCGGAACGUGCCCAGUCGUGGGGGAUAACGCAGCGAAAGCUGCGCUAAUACCGCAUACGAUCUAUGGAUGAAAGCGGGGGACCGUAAGGCCUCGCGCGAUUGGAGCGGCCGAUGUCAGAUUAGGUAGUUGGUGGGGUAAAGGCUCACCAAGCCAACGAUCUGUAGCUGGUCUGAGAGGACGACCAGCCACACGGGGACUGGGACACGGCCCAGACUCCUACGGGAGGCAGCAGUGGGGAAUUUUGGACAAUGGGCGCAAGCCUGAUCCAGCAAUGCCGCGUGCAGGAAGAAGGCCUUCGGGUUGUAAACUGCUUUUGUACGGAACGAAAAGGCUCUGGAUAAUACCUGGGGCUCAUGACGGUACCGUAGGAAUAAGCACCGGCUAACUACGUGCCAGCAGCCGCCGUAAAAC
rnacentral:rRNA from 1 species